rnacentral:rRNA from 1 species
UAAAAGAUCUAAUUUUUAGUAUCACCUGCUCAAUGAAAAUUAAAUAGCCGCAGUCUCCUGUGCUAAGGUAGCAUAAUCAUUUGCCUAAUAAUUAUAGGAUAGAAUGAAAGGUGGAACAUGUUAUCUCCUUUAUUAAAAAGGGUAAUUGAAUUUAAUAUUUAAGUAAAAAACCUUAAAUUAAUAGGGGGACGACAAGACCCUGACGAACUUUACUCUAAGUUUAGCUGGGGCGGCAAAUAAAUUAAACCUUUUCUUUUCUUAUUUAUAAUUAACCUUUAAGAUUGAUAAUUAAGUUACCGCAGGGAUAACAGCAUAAUCCUUUCCUGAAGAUCUUAUACAAGAAAGGGUUUGUGACCUCGAUGUUGAAUUAAAAUUCUAUUAGAGGCAGCACUCUAAUAAGAAAGUCUGUUCGACUUUUAAAUAUUU